rnacentral:rRNA from 1 species
CGGCGUGCCUAAUACAUGCAAGUCGAGCGGACCGACGGGAGCUUGCUCCCUUAGGUCAGCGGCGGACGGGUGAGUAACACGUGGGUAACCUGCCUGUAAGACUGGGAUAACUCCGGGAAACCGGGGCUAAUACCGGAUGCUUGAUUGAACCGCAUGGUUCAAUUAUAAAAGGUGGCUUUUAGCUACCACUUACAGAUGGACCCGCGGCGCAUUAGCUAGUUGGUGAGGUAACGGCUCACCAAGGCGACGAUGCGUAGCCGACCUGAGAGGGUGAUCGGCCACACUGGGACUGAGACACGGCCCAAACUCCUACGGGAGGCAGCAGUAGGGAAUCUUCCGCAAUGGACGAAAGUCUGACGGAGCAACGCCGCGUGAGUGAUGAAGGUUUUCGGAUCGUAAAACUCUGUUGUUAGGGAAGAACAAGUACCGUUCGAAUAGGGCGGUACCUUGACGGUACCUAACCAGAAAGCCACGGCUAACUACGUGCCAGCAGCCCGGUAAAU